rnacentral:rRNA from 2 species
UAAGUGACUAAGCGUACACGGUGGAUGCCUGGGCAGUCAGAGGCGAUGAAGGACGUACUAACUUGCGAUAAGCGCAGAUAAGGCAGUAAGAGCCGUUUGAGUCUGCGAUUUCCGAAUGGGGAAACCCAACUGCAUAAGCAGUUACUGUUAACUGAAUACAUAGGUUAACAGAGCAAACCGGGGGAACUGAAACAUCUAAGUACCCCGAGGAGAAGAAAUCAACCGAGAUUCCGGUAGUAGCGGCGAGCGAACCUGGAUUAGCCCUUAAGCACUCGGUGAAGUAGGUGAACAAGCUGGAAAGCUUGGCGAUACAGGGUGAUAGCCCCGUAACCGACGCUUCAUCGAGCGUGAAAUCGAGUAGGGCGGGACACGUGAUAUCCUGUCUGAAUAUGGGGGGACCAUCCUCCAAGGCUAAAUACUCCUGACUGACCGAUAGUGAACCAGUACCGUGAGGGAAAGGCGAAAGAACCCCUGUGAGGGGAGUGAAAUAGAACCUGAAACCGUGUACGUACAAGCAGUAGGAGCACCUUCGUGGUGUGACUGCGUACCUUUUGUAUAAUGGGUCAGCGACUUAUAUUCAGUGGCAAGGUUAACCGUAUAGGGGAGCCGUAGCGAAAGCGAGUCUUAACUGGGCGCUCAGUCUCUGGAUAUAGACCCGAAACCGGGUGAUCUAGCCAUGGGCAGGUUGAAGGUUGAGUAACAUCAACUGGAGGACCGAACCGACUAAUGUUGAAAAAUUAGCGGAUGACUUGUGGCUAGGGGUGAAAGGCCAAUCAAACUCGGAGAUAGCUGGUUCUCCCCGAAAGCUAUUUAGGUAGCGCCUCGGACGAAUACUACUGGGGGUAGAGCACUGUUAAGGCUAGGGGGUCAUCCCGACUUACCAACCCUUUGCAAACUCCGAAUACCAGUAAGUACUAUCCGGGAGACACACGGCGGGUGCUAACGUCCGUCGUGGAGAGGGAAACAACCCAGACCGCCAGCUAAGGUCCCAAAGUAUUGCUAAGUGGGAAACGAUGUGGGAAGGCUCAGACAGCUAGGAUGUUGGCUUAGAAGCAGCCAUCAUUUAAAGAAAGCGUAAUAGCUCACUAGUCGAGUCGGCCUGCGCGGAAGAUGUAACGGGGCUAAGCAAUACACCGAAGCUGCGGCAAUGUCUUUUAGACAUUGGGUAGGGAGCGUUCUGUAAGCCGUUGAAGGUGAAUCGUAAGGUUUGCUGGAGGUAUCAGAAGUGCGAAUGCUGACAUGAGUAACGACAAAGGGGGUGAAAAACCUCCUCGCCGGAAGACCAAGGGUUCCUGUCCAACGUUAAUCGGGGCAGGGUGAGUCGACCCCUAAGGUGAGGCCGAAAGGCGUAAUCGAUGGGAAACGGGUUAAUAUUCCCGUACUUCUGACUAUUGCGAUGGGGGGACGAGAAGGCUAGGUGGGCCAGGCGACGGUUGUCCUGGUUCAAGUGCGUAGGCUUGAGAGUUAGGUAAAUCCGGCUCUCUCUAAGGCUGAGACACGACGUCGAGCUACUACGGUAGUGAAGUCAUUGAUGCCAUGCUUCCAGGAAAAGCCUCUAAGCUUCAGAUAGUCAGGAAUCGUACCCCAAACCGACACAGGUGGUCGGGUAGAGAAUACCAAGGCGCUUGAGAGAACUCGGGUGAAGGAACUAGGCAAAAUGGUACCGUAACUUCGGGAGAAGGUACGCUCUUGAUGGUGAAGUCCCUCGCGGAUGGAGCUGACGAGAGUCGCAGAUACCAGGUGGCUGCAACUGUUUAUUAAAAACACAGCACUGUGCAAAAUCGCAAGAUGACGUAUACGGUGUGACGCCUGCCCGGUGCCGGAAGGUUAAUUGAUGGGGUUAGCGCAAGCGAAGCUCUUGAUCGAAGCCCCGGUAAACGGCGGCCGUAACUAUAACGGUCCUAAGGUAGCGAAAUUCCUUGUCGGGUAAGUUCCGACCUGCACGAAUGGCGUAAUGAUGGCCACGCUGUCUCCACCCGAGACUCAGUGAAAUUGAAAUCGCUGUGAAGAUGCAGUGUACCCGCGGCUAGACGGAAAGACCCCGUGAACCUUUACUACAGCUUGGCACUGAACAUUGAACCUACAUGUGUAGGAUAGGUGGGAGGCUAUGAAGACGUGACGCCAGUUGCGUUGGAGCCGUCCUUGAAAUACCACCCUUGUAUGUUUGAUGUUCUAACUUAGACCCGUUAUCCGGGUUGAGGACAGUGCCUGGUGGGUAGUUUGACUGGGGCGGUCUCCUCCCAAAGAGUAACGGAGGAGCACAAAGGUGGGCUAAUCACGGUUGGACAUCGUGAGGUUAGUGCAAUGGCAUAAGCCCGCUUAACUGCGAGAAUGACGGUUCGAGCAGGUGCGAAAGCAGGUCAUAGUGAUCCGGUGGUUCUGUAUGGAAGGGCCAUCGCUCAACGGAUAAAAGGUACUCCGGGGAUAACAGGCUGAUACCGCCCAAGAGUUCAUAUCGACGGCGGUGUUUGGCACCUCGAUGUCGGCUCAUCACAUCCUGGGGCUGAAGUCGGUCCCAAGGGUAUGGCUGUUCGCCAUUUAAAGUGGUACGCGAGCUGGGUUUAGAACGUCGUGAGACAGUUCGGUCCCUAUCUGCCGUGGGCGUUGGAAGAUUGAAGGGGGCUGCUCCUAGUACGAGAGGACCGGAGUGGACGAACCUCUGGUGUUCGGGUUGUGUCGCCAGACGCAUUGCCCGGUAGCUAAGUUCGGAAUUGAUAAGCGCUGAAAGCAUCUAAGCGCGAAGCGAGCCCUGAGAUGAGUCUUCCCUGACAGUUUAACUGUCCUAAAGGGUUGUUCGAGACUAGAACGUUGAUAGGCAGGGUGUGUAAGCGUUGUGAGGCGUUGAGCUAACCUGUACUAAUUGCCCGUGAGGCUUAACCA